UGAGCCCUACGGGACGCAGCAGUGGGGGAUAUUGCACAAUGGGGGAAACCCUGAUGCAGCGACGCCGCGUGGGUGAAGAAGCGCCUCGGCGCGUAAAGCCCUGUCAGCAGGGAAGAAAAUGACGGUACCUGAAGAAGAAGCCCCGGCUAACUACGUGCCAGCAGCCGCGGUAAUACGUAGGGGGCAAGCGUUAUCCGGAUUUACUGGGUGUAAAGGAGGCGCAGACGGCGAUGCAAGCCAGGAGGGAAAGCCCGGG
rnacentral:rRNA from 1 species